rnacentral:lncRNA from 1 species
ACUUAGGUGAUCUAAGGUAAAAUUAAAUAAAUCAAGAAUUCAAAAUUGACACUUUAAGCUGGAAUAGUAUUAGUUAAGGAUCAAAAUAAGAUAGAAAAAAAAAUAAAGGUCAUGGAGCUCCUUUUCGAGAUAUUUGAUUUAUGAUGGGAGAAGGCUGACUUGGACUUUUACCUUAUAUUUGCAUUGGUAUUAUUUGGGUCUCAAAUCAAAAGAAAGAAAAUCAAGAAUCUGCUUGAAUUUUGUCAAAUGACCUUUUAUGAGCUAUUAAGUCUUAUGUUAAAAUAAAAUAUGUGUUAUGGCGAAAAAUAUUUUACCUUGUAUCGUAUAGAAAAACACCAAA